AGACCGAUAGCAAACAAGUACGGUGACGGAAGAUUGAAAAGAACUUUGAAGAGAGAGUUCAAUAGUACGUGAAACUGUGUGGUGGUAAACGGAGGGGUUCUCGAAGUUUCUGUGGGGAACUCAGCCUUGGUGUCGCGUGGCCCUGUAGUAUCCGAUCAGCAAUGACGGUGCUGCUUGGCCGACGUGUCUCUCGGGUGCAUUUCCCCCGCAGUUUACGGCAGGAACUGUUCGGAGCACACCGAAGGCCUCGGGUGAAGUUGUUGGUUCUGCCGGCAGCCCCGGGUGUCCUGGCUUUGCACCGGACAGGUACGUGAGAGGACUCGUAUAGCGAGCAAUGCUCUGUUGCGGUUCUCAUCUCUCUGCCGAGUAGGUCGGUGGCCCCUCCGACCCGUCUUGAAACACGGAC
rnacentral:rRNA from 1 species